rnacentral:rRNA from 1 species
ACGAACGCUGGCGGCGUGCCUAAUACAUGCAAGUCGAACGAACCGCGACUAGGUGCUUGCACUUGGUCAAGGUGAGUGGCGAACGGGUGAGUAACACGUGGGUAACCUACCUCAUAGUGGGGGAUAACAGUCGGAAACGACUGCUAAUACCGCAUAGGACAUAGGAUCACAUGAUUCUGUGAGGAAAGGUGGCGCAAGCUAUCGCUAAGAGAUGGACCCGCGGUGCAUUAGCUAGUCGGUAGGGUAAAGGCCUACCAAGGCGAUGAUGCAUAGCCGACCUGAGAGGGUGAUCGGCCACAUUGGGACUGAGACACGGCCCAAACUCCUACGGGAGGCAGCAGUAGGGAAUCUUCCGCAAUGGACGCAAGUCUGACGGAGCAACGCCGCGUGAGUGAAGAAGGUCUUCGGAUCGUAAAGCUCUGUUGUUAGAGAAGAACAGCGCAUAGAGUAACUGUUAUGCGUGUGACGGUAUCUAACCAGAAAGCCACGGCUAACUACGUG